AAUUAGAAUACAUAACAAAUUUUAAUAAACUAACUGACAAAAUCCAAAAAAAAUAAUAAUUAAAAGUUACGUAUUGGUUCAACUGGUAGCCGGGUUCAAGACUUUGACGGGAUUUUGUAGUUUUACCAGGGUUUUAAAUAAUACUAGCUUUUUUCUAUUACCAAACCAGAUUACAUACUUGAUCAUCAUAUUUACCGGUUCGACCGCAGAUCGAGAUCGGGUUUCAAAACACUACCAAAUCAAAUAGAAAAUGUCACUCCAAAUAUGGACAGAAAUUUAAAAGUAAGGUAAUGAAUUUGAAUUAACAAAACAAAACCAAACCCUCUCUGUAUCCUAUCUAAAAUCUAUAUAAAGAACGAGAGUGAUCUAUCUAUCUUUUUUUUUCUAACUUGAGACUAUGAUUCCGAUCAAGCAUAAAACAUGUCGAUGUAUUCCUUUCCGUUUAUGUGGAUAAUACGUUCCAGUGUAUUCAGAUUUUGAAUUUUUAGAUUUAGUCUCUUUUUUAUCUCUGUUUUAAUUUUGCGUCAAAAUCAUAAAAUCAAGUUUUUUCAUCAACUGAGCAAAAUCGAGUUUUCACGC
rnacentral:lncRNA from 1 species